AGGGAAUAUUAGUAAUGGGCGCAAGCCUGAACUAGCAACGCCGCGUGUGCGAAGAAGGCCUUCGGGUUGUAAAGCACUUUUUGAGAGGAUGAGGAAGGACGGUACUCUCAGAAUAAGUCUCGGCUAACUACGUGCCAGCAGCCGCGGUAACACGUAGGAGGCAAACGUUAUCCGGAUUUACUGGGCGUAAAGCGCGUGUAGGUGGUUUGGUAAGUAGGGCGUGAAAGCUCCUGGCUCAACUGGGAGAGGCCGUUCUAAACUGCCGAACUAGAGGAUGGUAGAGGGAGGUGGAAUUCCGGGUGUAGCGGUGGAAUGCGCAGAUAUCCGGAGGAACACCAGUGGCGAAAGCGGCCUCCUGGACCAUUCCUGACACUCAGACGCGAAAGCUAGGGUAGCAAACGG
rnacentral:rRNA from 1 species